rnacentral:rRNA from 1 species
AGAGUUUGAUCAUGGCUCAGAACGAACGCUGGCGGCGUGCUUAACACAUGCAAGUCGCGUGCGCAGUUUCCGUAGCAAUACGGGGAUGGGCGCACGGCGCACGGGUGCGUAACACGUGGGCAAUCUGCCCUCCGAUGGGGAAUACCCCCCGCGAAAGCGGGACUAAUUCCGCAUAACAUUCCUUGGAUUAACUUUCGAGGAUUCAAAGCAGCAAUGCGUCGGAGGAGGAGCCCGCGGCCUAUCAGCUAGUUGGUGAGGUAACGGCUCACCAAGGCAAAGACGGGUAGCUGGUCUGAGAGGACGACCAGCCACACUGGAACUGAGACACGGUCCAGACACCUACGGGUGGCAGCAGUCGAGAAUUUUUCACAAUGGGCGCAAGCCUGAUGGAGCGACGCCGCGUGGGGGAUGAAGGGUUUCGAUCCGUAAACCCCUGUCAUUUGCGAACAAACCUUAUGGGAUAACACCCCAUGAGCUGAUUGUAGCGGAAGAGGAAGGGACGGCUAACUCUGUGCCAGCAGCCGCGGUAAUACAGAGGUCCCAAGCGUUGUUCGGAUUCACUGGGCGUAAAGGGUGCGUAGGCGGUUCUCUAAGUUCCGUGUGAAAUCUCCCGGCUUAACUGGGAGGGUGCGCGGAAGACUGGAGGGCUGGAGUAUGGGAGAGGAAAGCGGAAUUCCUGGUGUAGCGGUGAAAUGCGUAGAUAUCAGGAGGAACACCUGCGGUGUAGACAGCUUUCUGGACCAUCACUGACGCUGAGACACGAAAGCGUGGGUAGCAAACAGGAUUAGAUACCCUAGUAGUCC